CGGGGCGUAGCACAGUCUGGUCAGCGCGCCUGCUUUGGGAGCAGGAGGUCGGAGGUUCAAAUCCUCUCGCCCCGACCA
rnacentral:tRNA from 1 species